UACGUAGGUGGCAAGCGUUGUCCGGAUUUACUGGGUGUAAAGGGCGUGUAGCCGGGCUUACAAGUCAGAUGUGAAAUCCGGGGGCUCAACCCCCGAACUGCAUUUGAAACUGUAGGUCUUGAGUAUCGGAGAGGCAGGCGGAAUUCCUAGUGUAGCGGUGAAAUGCGUAGAUAUUAGGAGGAACACCAGUGGCGAAGGCGGCCUGUUGGACGACAACUGACGGUGAGGCGCGAAAGCGUGGGGAGCAAACAGG
rnacentral:rRNA from 1 species